ACGAACGCUGGCGGCGUGCUUAACACAUGCAAGUCGCACGGAAAGGCCCUGCUUUUGUGGGGUGCUCGAGUGGCGAACGGGUGAGUAACACGUGAGUAACCUGCCCUUGACUUUGGGAUAACUUCAGGAAACUGGGGCUAAUACCGGAUAGGAGCUCCUGCUGCAUGGUGGGGGUUGGAAAGUUUCGGCGGUUGGGGAUGGACUCGCGGCUUAUCAGCUUGUUGGUGGGGUAGUGGCUUACCAAGGCUUUGACAGGUAGCCGGCCUGAGAGGGUGACCGGCCACAGUGGGACUGAGAUACGGCCCAGACUCCUACGGGAGGCAGCAGUGGGGAAUAUUGCACAAUGGGCGGAAGCCUGAUGCAGCAACGCCGCGUGCGGGAUGACGGCCUUCGGGUUGUAAACCGCUUUCGCCUGUGACGAAGCGUGAGUGACGGUAAUGGGUAAAGAAGCACCGGCUAACUACGUG
rnacentral:rRNA from 1 species